AACGAACGCUGGCGGCAGGCUUAACACAUGCAAGUCGAGCGGACCUUUCGGGGUCAGCGGCGGACGGGUGAGUAACGCGUGGGAACGUGCCUUCCGGUUCGGAAUAACCCUGGGAAACUAGGGCUAAUACCGGAUACGCCCUUAUGGGGAAAGGUUUACUGCCGGAAGAUCGGCCCGCGUCUGAUUAGCUAGUUGGUGGGGUAACGGCCUACCAAGGCGACGAUCAGUAGCUGGUCUGAGAGGAUGAUCAGCCACACUGGGACUGAGACACGGCCCAGACUCCUACGGGAGGCAGCAGUGGGGAAUAUUGGACAAUGGGCGCAAGCCUGAUCCAGCCAUGCCGCGUGAGUGAUGAAGGCCUUAGGGUUGUAAAGCUCUUUUAUCCGGGACGAUAAUGACGGUACCGGAGGAAUAAGCCCCGGCUAACUUCGUGCCAGCCGCCGCAGUAA
rnacentral:rRNA from 1 species